GUGUACGGAGACGUGGGGUGUACGGAGACGUGGGGUGUACGGAGACGUGGUGUGUAUGGAGGAGAUGCAGUUAAACAGAAUGUCCUCUAUCCCUACGCGGAAUAUCAUAAAAGCUAGUAUAAUUACUAUAAUAAAUCUAUUAAUAAUACAAAGAAAGCAGACAAUAUGGUUCCUACAUACCUCCGAUGUUUUAUAUAUAUAUAAAUGUGUUCUAUAAUACGUAUAUAUGUGUGUGUGUGUGUGUGUGUGUGUGUAUUUCUGUGAUUGUGUGCAUCAUCUGGUUCCCGUCUGCUCUCUGUAUUGAGUGAAUAGAUGGAGCUCCACAUCGGCCGGGCCGUGGUGUAAUCGAGGGUUAGGGCCAUAGCGCCAUAGCGACGCACCACGGGACAGGAACCUGCAAUAACGGGACAGCGGCAGGACGUCGCGUAUGUAAUCCGCUACGACUUUUUCAAGGGCGUUUUCACGCCUGGUUUGAAUAUUCGAGCGUGCGCUCGAGUCGCGUUGUGGGCUGUGUUAGGGGCGGGGUUUAUAUUCGCAAGUCGGUGUUCGUUGGCUUUAGGCGACGUCCGCGUAGCCUGUUCACGCUCGGACGGCGUUCACCUUCGACCUUUGUUUGGAUCUGGUCCCGUGUGAGGACACGUGUUUUGCUGGAAACGUCUCGGGAUGUCUCUCGGCACCGACGUGCGUCUCCGCGGCGAAUCCUGCCGAACCUUCGUUCCAGGAAAAGCGGUUCACAGCUUUCCUCCCCGGGAUAUCGGAUGGGAAAUGACUGUUUGUGUGUUUUACCCUGACUCCGGCGAACUUUCCGGAACUCUCUCUCUCUCCCACGCACGUACACACACACACACACACAAAACGUUGGAGGACGUCCAGCUUUGUCACGUACAAACAGACAAGGCCGUUGUUGUCUCAUCGCACAAAGCUAAAGUGUCUGAUAAACACUCGCGUGAACUGAAUUUCCGUCUCGUUUUUCGCCGAGCUGCGAUUCGCCGGGAAAGAAACGCCGAUGUGAACGCCUCGUCCUCCGGGUUUAAGUUUUCACGUCGAUAUUUAUCGACUGAAUUUCCCGAUAAUGAAAAAUACGGUCUGAAAGCCGAGACGUGACUCGAUCGGAAAGCGGUUUUCUCCGGGCCGUUUGCACUGACGUUUUAUCUCUGUAUGACAUUUUUAACAAAAGUAAUCGUCACGGAGCGGCUUUACUGAGAUCCGGGUGUAGAUUUAGAUGCCUGUGAGGGGGAAAAAGCAUCUAGGAGGGGUUAAAAGGGACCCUCUCUCCCCGGUCGAUCGCAGAGACACUAGAAACUCAUGCGAGUCUAUCUGUGAGCUCGUGUACGCAGAAGAGGGCGGAUAGCGCCUUCCAGAAGUAAAGCGUGUUCCCUCGCUCUGUCUGUGUUUGUUUGGCUGAUUUACUUCACAGAUUUGCGAGAUCAGAUGACACUAUAGACUAGCGAGCUAGCUAACUGACCUAAUCACCUAGCUACAUUUACACGUGUCACGUGUUUACAUUCCCGCCUCCCGGUGUUCACCGCGCGUUACAGCGGAUUACGGUAUAGACAGUAAACUGGACCAUCAUCUGUCGAAGAUGAAACAUGAUUGGCUCGUAGUUCUGUCCUCUGAAACAUGAUUGGCUCGUAGUACUUUCCUCUGUAACAUGAUUGGCUCUUAGUUCCCUCCUCUGAAACAUGAUUGGCUCGUAGUACUUUCCUCUAAAACAUGAUUGGUUCGUAGUUCUGUCCUUUGUAACAUUAUUGGCUCGUAGUUCUCUCCUCUGAAACAUGAUUGGCUCGUAGUUCCUUCCUCUGAAACAUGAUUGGCUCGUAGUACUUUCCUCUGAAACAUGAUUGGUUCGUAGUUCUGUCCUCUGUAACAUGAUUGGCUCGUAGUUCUCUCCUCUGAAACAUGAUUGGCUCGUAGUUCCUUCCUCUGAAACAUGAUUGGUUCAUAGUUCCUUCCUCUGAAACAUGAUUGGCUCGUAGUUCUUUCCUCUGAAACAUGAUUGGUUCGUAGUUCUCUCCUCUGAAACAUGAUUGGCUCGUAGUUCCUUCCUCUGAAACAUGAUUGGUUCAUAGUUCCUUCCUCUGAAACACGAUUGGCUCGUACUUAGUUCUCUCCUCUGAAACAUGAUUGGCUCGUAGUUCUGUCCUCUGAAACACGAUUGGCUCGUAGUUCUCUCCUCUGAAACACGAUUGGCUCGUAGUUCUUUCCUCUGAAACACGAUUGGCUCGUAGUUCUGUCCUCUGAAACACGACUGGGCCUAGUUCCUACCGUCCAGGGUGUCGGGACACCGUUCCGGGUCGUUCCGGGUCGGUUCUAACCCGUGCUUACGAGCGAGUCGGAUCUAAAGAACAGAAAAGCGGCGAUGCUGAGGACAGUUUAACGGUCUUUCUAAGCAGAAUGAGAGGACAGGAGCGCUGCACGGCGCACCGCUGUAGCGUAACGGCACGGAGGAGGCGUAGCUGCAGGACAGCCAGGUGGCCGCGUCGCCCAGGGCGAAUCACUGAAAUCCACACCGACGACAAGCGGCAGAACGCCGGAGCCCCCGUAAAAUCAUCGACACUGAAGACGGGGAAAGUAAAAAAACGUAGGAGGAGCUUUACUUUAGAUAAGUCAAGCACGCAGGUUAAUAAUUAAUUCAGUGGUUAGUUAUUUUCCCAACAGCUGCACAAAUUCUGAUGUUUAAAGAAUAUACCGUGUGUGUAUUUAUUUAUUUAUUUAUAUAUGUAUGUAUUUAUGUAUAAUGUGUAUGUAUGUGCAUGUGUAUGUAUCGUGAGAGUGAUGCAAGCGAAGACGCUGAUGUUUUUCCCUUCUGUUCUUCACCCUGGAUCUGAAAUGCACAGUUCCUCUCCAUCAAGCAGGAAAUUUCAGAAUAUAACAUAUUCGCGCGCGCGGGUAUCCCAGGUGGCUCGUUAGCUCGUCGUUUGGGCGCGCGCUCGAGAAAAAAGCAGGUGUUCAGAACGAAGGUUGCUUUAAAUAUACUUUCCGUUUUCCCCGCGCCGAGGAACAAAGAGCGCGAGACCCGUUCGCUCGGUGUUUCCACACGUCUAACCCUUCCGCACGUCGCGCCCACGGUCAGUUUAACGGAGAUGGAAGACGUAAAUCGCAGACUUCGUAGAAAUCGUAGAAAGACGUAGAUCGCCCGAGACGGUUAGCGUAGAUUGACGUAAACCUCCGUAGCUCGUCAGGCCGUUUUGUCGUUCUCCGGCUUUCUACGUAAAGUGCAAAUAAAUUCCUAAGUAAAGAAAAAAAAUGGCACGGCGAUGUUAAUUUAACGUUUACGGAAGGAGUCUCCGGUGUCGGAGCGUCGACGCUAGGAGUUAGCGGUUUCUCGGGGACGUUUCAAGCUGCGUUUUUUUUCUCCUCGAGACUUCAAAAGAGAGAGAGAGAUGAAAGAGAGAGAGGGAAAAGAGAGAGGUCGGUGGAGGAACCGUCCGAAGCUGCUCUAACGUAAGUGAGAACGGGAACGAUCUCGUUUUGGCGAAGUUCCACGAUACGGAAUGAAACUGAACGGAUGCGUCGCGCUUUAAUGAAUAGGAACUCCGGGAAGCGGCGCGGUCUCUCCGCGUCCACGCGCUCGUCCCUGCGCGAACAGAUUUUCUGAACAGACGUGCGUGGACCGGAGCAGGAAAUGAAACGCCGCGUUCUGCAUGUAACCUCUGGACUCUGGGUCAGUGCGGGAGAACGUUUCCCUCCUGCUCCGAUUCUGUAUCGGUAAUGAAACAGUGAAACGUGAUCCACGUCUUUGGCAGCGAGUGAUAAAUCAUUAACAUUGCAGCGUGACCUCGGAAUUAAAACUGGAGCUGGAAACGCGGCUCAUGUGGAAACGAUUCUGCGAGUUUGUGAGUCUUGGCCGGACCUCGGCAGAGAGAAUAAUUUACCUGCGUGCUUCCAGAACCUUGUUGUUGUUGGUGUGUGUGUGUGUGUGUGUGUGUGUGUGUGUGUGUGUCGUCCAGAUUGUUUCCGAUCGAACAGAACAGUUCUGCUCUGACGUGAAUGUUAGCGUUUUUAUGCGUUUGUUUAUUUUGGG
ensembl:lncRNA